GGAAAAUGUCAUCUUUAUUCUUGAAGGCCAUGUGCCCUGCUAAAAUUUUUAUGUCUAUGGAAGGACACAAGAGAUACUGCAGGACAACCAGAUUAGAAUGACUUUUCCUGUGUUUCCCACUGAACGUUUUGUCCUGUUGAUAAGACCAUCAUUUCCUCACUCAGAAAUGCAGUCUUAAGCAGAAAUAGGAACAUCACAUUGCUGAGCUGGACAAAGAAGUAGCACAAGAAAAAAAAAGAUAAAAUUAGCCUGAUAUCCUGUUUUAAACAAAAACAGCUCAAUUGGCAGUUUCGGCCUGCAGGGAAGUAGGCUGAGAGCCAAUACUGAACUACCUUUCAUCUAUGGAAAAGCUGGCCUUCGCUCAGGGCACAGCUUUGGCAGCUUAUAACCAGAUUCGAAAUCACAUUCCAUUUCCUUUUCUAUCUGCCAGAUCUCUCGCACUGGCUAACACUAUCCUUCCAGAGAAGAGCACUGAGGUGAGCAAGGAAAGAGAAUUUUUAAGUGUGGAGGUUGCGAGGUCUAGAACCUUGGAAGUCACUCAUAGAUGCAUUGUCAAGGGCUCAGAAGAGGAGAAAGACUGCCGUGGCUAUGAAGCAGAGAAGGAAGAUACCCAACCCCUAAAAAUAAGCCAAAGAUGGCUAGGAAGUGUUAUUCAGGUUGGGUUGACAAAGGAACAAAGAGGAGCCGGCUCAGUGGCAAAAUGGUUAUGUUCGCAUGAUCUGCUUUGGUGGCCUGAAGUUCACAGGUUCGGAUCUCAGGCAAGGACCUACACACCGCUCAUCCAGCCAUGCUGUGGCUGUGUCCCACAUACAAAAUAGAGGAAGAUUGGCACAGAUGUUAAUUCAGGGACAAUCUUCUUCAAGCAAAAAGAGGAAGAUUGGUAACCUAUGUUAGCUCAGGGCCAAUCUUCCUCACCAGAAAAGAAAAAAAGAAUAAAGAGCAGAAGAAAAGAAAGAGAAAGAGAAGA
rnacentral:lncRNA from 1 species